UUUUAAAAAAAAAAAAAAUCCCAACUAAACCCUACCCUUAACAAUCCUUUAUCAACCAGCAUGACACCUGCUUAAUUGGAUACAAGUAAUAGUUUUUAACAGCUUGAGAGAUUGCUAGAAAGGCAUUCUCACCUUCUCUAAGCAAUGUGAGAGAUGUGGUUACUUCACAUUCUGAUCUUGGAGGUGUUUGUGCAUUUCAAUGGCAGGAUAAUGAAAAACUUCAUUCGCUAUUGGAACAAAAUGGAAUCUAGUGUGGCAGUAUAGAAUCUGUCCAGAAAAGGGCUUUCGUAUUAUCUAAUUAGCCUGGUUGUUCUAGUGAACGUUGAGUUUACUCGCAGUUUUUUUGUUUGGGGAUUCCACAAGAAGUUGAAAAAAAAAUGUUGAAGAGAUAUGUCCUGAUAUUUUCAAUUUGUUUUGUGCUAAGUAAAAAAUUAGCAUUCAGAGUCUAUGGAGUGAAAAUGAUAGCAAUGAAACUCCAUCUUUCAAGUGAUUCCUUGAUAGUUAUCCUUUUCCCUAAUAUUUUUUCAGAUUGCAGAACUGUUAAUAUGGUCUUCCUUUACAAAUAAUAACUGCUUUGUGACAAACUAUGUAUAACAUUAGAUUGGCCAUGCACAUAAAACACAAAUUUCCUCUGACAAAAACAGAAACGCAAAACAGACUUAUAUUCCAUAUUGUUGACGGUUUUUUCACCCCACUUUGGGAACUUUACUAUAUUUGUUUGGCUUUGGCUAAUUUUUUCUAUCAUUUGCAUGGUUUUAUUCAGGUAUGAUUACUCGGGCUACGGACAAUCAAGUGGAAAGGUUAGAUUCCAAGUUUCCUCGUCGUAGUUCUUAAUGAUUGACCGGAAGCUUUAUGCUAUAUUCGCUUUACCAAAUUCAUGUGCCUUUUUGAAUAUCCAUCUUUUAUCACAUACUUAGAUGUCUUUGUUUUGUUAUGCUCUUCACAAUUCAGAGGUUUUAAUAAAAAAUUAAAUCAUAUAGAAUUAGUUUAUUUUACAUGGAAUCAUUGACUUGAUAUGCUAUGUAGAUGCAUAUCAUAUGCAAAUAUUACUACACAUUAUCACAUGUAGUAUUAAUGGAACCUACCCAAUUUCUCCCUCUCUCUCUCUCUCUC
rnacentral:misc_RNA from 1 species